CACACAGAUAGGCAUUGAAAGAGAACAUGUUUCAAGCAUACGCUCAAACAUUGUUUUAUGCCAACAGGACUAAAGCAUAUGAGAGUAACAUUUUUGUGAACAAGUCCAUCAAAAUUCCAUGAUUCCUGUCAGCUUUGUUACUUAACUGCCUAGCAUCAUCUUCAGAGGAGUUAGAGAGUGAGGAUGCUGUACUCAAUACUGACAUAUGAAAUGGUUAAAUAUAUGUUCUGAAAGUGAAAUAAUGUCAUUGAAAUACUCCAACAAUGGAAAUUAUCUCUUCUGUUUUACUUCUCCUUCUCAAAAUCUUUCAACAUUUAUAUAUGAAUUAAUUUUCGCUGAGCUAUGUACCAAGAAAAGGCCAUUAUAAUCUUGCCUCAAGCAGCUUGCAGUAAAAGAAACACAUUAAUAAAAUGAUUUGCAUAAAUUCUUAGAAGAAGGAACAAGGAAUGACUUAGAA